GUUGCUAUGGGUUGCGGUUGCUACGAGUUACCGGAUCAAGGCCGGCGAGCUUCUUUACCUGACAAACAGCCCCCGGCAGAGGCCGGGCGCAUGGAGGCGCCUGGAACACACACUGACGGGCGGGGAGGGAGCGAGCUGCCGCGCGAGCCCCCUGCACACACAGUCAGUCUGGGCUUGCAGCUGCAGGAAAAGCGACAGCAAGUGGGGUGGGGGGGAAGAGAGGAUGAAGGCCCUGAGGAAAACGUCGUUUCAAAGAGGCAAACUUAUGAAUCGCAUCAGCAACGGAAUAUUUUGUCUGUCCAGAUACACAAGCCUCAAUAUCUUCUGGACUUAGCUGAGUCUGUAAGAAGAGGUGAAGUCUACUGUCCGAAAGCAAUAAUGCAUUUUGUAGGAUCCUUUAAAAAAAGAAAAACACACAAUGACUAGAACAAUUUCUCAAAGGUGUCCUGCUUUUAAAUGAAUCCCAAAUUAGCUUCAGAAUGCACUGCACAUAAUAAAAUGAUUAGGCAUGUGUUACCUUUUUAUUACAUUAUCUGCAAGUUUAGGCGAGUAAAAACAUGAAGUUAAUAGUUAAGAACAUCUGUUUUAAGAAUAACUUCAAGGGCAUUUCUUCCAUUUAACCAUCUGUUAUUACCAUGUGGAUCAAUUAAUGAUUGUAAGGGGGGGCAAAGGCACAUGCACUUAUGGAAAUUUGGUCUACAUUCAAGAAUUGUCUAUAUUUAAAAAUACUAAACUACUUUAAAAUUUCAAUUGCCUGAUUUCUCUUGGGGGAGUGGAAGAAGGUAAAGGAGGUUAGAAGCAUGAAAAGUCAGGACUUUGACAUACUUGUGAAAUAGAAUGCAUGUGCACCAACAAAAACUAGAAGUACAUAUUUACACUUUUACAAAUUUAUAUAUAUUUAAGGGAUAGUAAAAAUGCCAUUGAUGUACAUUGAUGUAAAUCUGCUUAUAAAAUGUUUUCAGUAAGUUCUGACAAUACUCUUCAUUUUAGCUGUUUUUUGAAAAAGUCUGUCUUCAACUGCAGUUUAUGUUUGUGAAAAUAAGCCUUCAAAUGCAUUUAGCAUAACCUGUUUAAUCAUGUGAACUGUGUAAUCCAAGUACAAUGCAUUCAAAAAAAACUGGAAAAUUAAGAGUUUCUCUACAAGGACUGAAAUCUGAGUAUUAGCAUUGCUACUCUGAAAAUGCAACGCUCCUGCAAUAUUUGUAUAAGGAACGAAUUACACAAUAGAUCUAUUCUAACAUGAUCAGCAGACGACAAUAAGGGUCUAUAUCUACAAAAUGCUGAUGUGCAUGCAUAACUUUACUCAUGGGAGUAGUCUUUUUGAGCUCAAUGGGAAUACUCAGCAUUUGCAAUAUAAGGCCUAUGACACUAACAACUAACAUUGCGUGCAAAUUUACUGCAGUAUAUUUAAGCAAGCCAGAACCGUUCAGAAUUAAUGUUCGCCUACUUACAAAUAUUUAAGUUAGUUUUUAGUUAUCAAUAUCUUUUCCAUUUAUUUGGCAACAUUACUGAAUAUAAUCGGAUACAAGACAAUAACAUAAGAACUGGUGAAAGCAAAAAUAAAUAAAAAUCAACUGUAUUAUAAAUACCCUAAUUAACAUGAAGGGUAUAACAGACUGGUUCUUCCAAUUUUAACCAUGUGUUUGGACUGUAAUAUUUUAAACAUAAAUGAACUCUGAAAAUUGUUCUCUAUUGUGACCAAUAUACUAAUAAUUUUUAAUUAUGGUAAUAUACUUAAGGAUUUCUGUCUUUCUGUUAAAGGAAAGCAAAAUGAAAAUAGACCUAUAAUAUUAAACUUUAAUUUUUGGGGUAUUGUGUGUGUUUGCACACACACUUGAAAUUGAUAAGUUUGCAGUAAUGAAAAAUAUUUGCAGUGGCCCAUAAUGAUUUAUCACAUUCCAUGUGAAAUUAUAUAUAUCUGAGAGAGUGGGGCUGCAACAGAGAUCACUUUUGGCUACUGUCCAAGAUAAGGACAUUUUUAAACAUUGAUAAAACUCAGCUUUUAUUCUGAUAAUUUUCUUAAAAAUAGACAUCGCAAAUAUAGUCUUUCUUAAAAUCCAUGCCUACAAAGUAUUAAUGCACAGUACAUUUAAAAAUAUCUUCUCAGUAACCCAAAAGAAACCACCUAAUAGUGUACAAAAAUGAAUCAAGCCACAGAACCUACAAACCCACACACCUCCCUCCUCGACAGCAACAACUUCAUGAAUACAGUUUGAAAAGCCAUCAUUCAUUGGCCACUCCUGGUCAACGUGAAAUCCCAAACAAGAAAUGACACAAACAUCAUGAAACAAAAAGGAAAAAAAAAAAACCCCAACCAUACCACACAAUUAAUACAGAUUCAUAGCGUAAGCACUGGAGGCGUAAACUCAUUCCUUUUGUUUCCUUAAAGUAAAUCUUACUGGGCUUUAUGUUCCAGGUUUAAAAACAGAUAACAGUGAGGAGAUUCACAUUUUUGCAAUACUAAUGUCUGCAUUUCUAAUUCAGAGUAAUAUAGUAAAAAGCCAGCCCAUUAAAUUCAACGUGCAUAAGCUUUAGUCUCCCUAAAGAUUUUCCUGUAUUGUACCUUUAGUAGCUUCCUGCCACCCAGGCUAAAGCGCAAGUAACUAACUGUUCAUGAGAUUACGCUAUACUUGCAGCUUUGUUGCUGCUUGAAAUGUAUUUUCUUUUCUUUAUAAAAUAAUGGAUAAUCUUUAAAAUUGAUUUUAGAUGGUUUGAGGCUUUACACCACAGAAGUAAUGAGCACUAAUGUCAAUGAUAUUGGACACAAAUUCAUUUUAGCUUUAUUUCAUGUCCACAGCAAUUCUACUAAGCCUUGAACUGCUGAAGCACUAUUAUUAACUUGCUGGUAACCUAACACAUGGCAACAGCAAACAAAACUGAUAAGGGUACAGGUUGAUCAGAACCUCAAGGCUACUGUCCUUUUUCAGCAGCUAUAAUUCAAUUUCCAAUUUUACUGUACAUUGGACUCAUUAUUUCACAGUUAUUUUCUCUUCUGCUUAAUAGUGCCAUCUGGAGGUUAAAUGAGUGAAGACACACAGAGAGGAAGAAUUAGAGAAAAAUGUUCAUUGAACCAAUCACACACACCACAUCUGUAAGGGAAAACAUUUAGAGUUCUUUACCAACCACUGUAAGCCAACAUGUGAGCAGUCAUAUACGCACUCUUCACCUAGGUAUGCCCUUGGAAUGCCUGGUCUACUCUUUAAUUGAGAAAUGACAACUUCUGCUUUUUUUCCUUCUGCACCAGCCGUUUAUAUUGCUUGAAGGAUGUAAUUAAAAAGCAAUCAAAAUGAAAAAUAAAGUGUCUGCACUA